rnacentral:rRNA from 1 species
GAUGAACGCUGGCGGCGUGCCUAAUACAUGCAAGUCGAGCGAACGGACGCGAAGCUUGCUUCUCUGAUGUUAGCGGAGGACGGGUGAGUAACACGUGGAUAACCUACCUAUAAGACUGGGAUAACUUCGGGAAACCGGAGCUAAUACCGGAUAAUAUUUUGAACCGCAUGGUUCAAAAGUGAAAGACGGUCUUGCUGUCACUUAUAGAUGGAUCCGCGCUGCAUUAGCUAGUUGGUAAGGUAACGGCUUACCAAGGCAACGAUGCAUAGCCGACCUGAGAGGGGGAUCGGCCACACGGGAACGGAGACACGGUCCAGACUCCUACGGGAGGCAGCAGUAUGGAAUCUUCCGCAAUGGGCGAAAGCCUGACGGAGCAACGCCGCGUGAGUUAUGAAGGUCUUCGGAGCGUAAAACUCUGUUAUUAGGGAAGAACAUAUGUGUAAGGAACUGUGCACAGCGUGACGGUACCUAAUCAGAAAGCCACGGCUAACUACGUG